AGAGAGAGACAUGCGCGCAUAUCAAUAAGCGGAGGAAAAGAAACUAACAAGGAUUCCCCUAGUAACGGCGAGUGAAGCGGGAAGAGCUCAAAUUUGAAAUCUUAAAGGGUUUCCCUUUACGAAUUGUAGUUUAAAGAAGUGUUUUUCUGUUGAGGUUUUGGUAAAAGUUCUUUGGAAUAGGACAUCAUAGAGGGUGAGAAUCCCGUAUUUGACCUUUACUUUCAACUUUGUGAUACACUUUCAAAGAGUCGGAUUGUUUGGGAAUGCAGUCCAAAAUGGGUGGUAAAUUUCAUCUAAAGCUAAAUAUUGGCGAGAGACCGAUAGCGAACAAGUACCGUGAGGGAAAGAUGAAAAGAACUUUGAAAAGAGAGUUAAACAGUACGUGAAAUUGUCAAAAGGGAAGCGUUUGACACCAGUGUUGUUUUUCUGAAAAUCAAUUAAAGAACUGUUUAUGCUAAGUUGUUUAGACUUUAUCAGCUAACUGUUUAGUUUUGAGCUUUUCUUUAAUGCACUUUUCAGUUAACAAGUCAACAUCAAUUUCUUUUGCUGUAAAAAAGCUUGAGGAAGGUGGCUUGAGAUUCGUCUUAAGUGUUUAUAGCCUCUUGCCUAUGCAGUCGGAGAGAUUGAGGUCUGCAGCGUAGAUCCUUCGGGGCUAAAUGCAUUUGUGCUAAGUUAUAGCAUUUUAUAGACAACUUGUUGACUAUGAUUUGUCUUGUAGCUUACUCGCUUAUGUUAUUUUACCUACGCUUAGGAUGUUGAGCGCAUGUCUCUCUCU
rnacentral:rRNA from 1 species